CGGAGCCGUAUGACGCGAGAGUGUCACGUACGGUUCUUUGAGAAGGGUGUGAAUCUCUAUUAUUCUCAGGCCCCCAGGGGCCACGAAGCUGCACCCUUACUCUCC
rfam:Physcomitrella patens mitochondrial DNA, complete genome.